AGGUGGCGAGCGUUGUCCGGAUUUACUGGGCGUAAAGGGUGCGUAGGCGGAUGUUUAAGUGGGAUGUGAAAUCCCCGGGCUUAACCUGGGGGCUGCAUUCCAAACUGGAUAUCUAGAGUGCAGGAGAGGAAAGCGGAAUUCCUAGUGUAGCGGUGAAAUGCGUAGAGAUUAGGAAGAACACCAGUGGCGAAGGCGGCUUUCUGGACUGUAACUGACGCUGAGGCACGAAAGCGUGGGUAGCAAACAGGAUUAGAUACCCUGGUAGUCCACGCCGUAAACGAUGGAUACUAGGUGUAGGGGGUAUCAACUCCCCCUGUGCCGCAGUUAACACAAUAAGUAUCCCGCCUGGGGAGUACGGUCGCAAGAUUAAAACUCAAAGGAAUUGACGGGGGCCCGCACAAGCAGCGGAGCAUGUGGUUUAAUUCGAAGCAACGCGAAGAACCUUACCUGGACUUGACAUCCCUUGCAUAGCCUAGAGAUAGGUGAAGCCCUUCGGGGCAAGGAGACAGGUGGUGCAUGGUUGUCGUCAGCUCGUGUCGUGAGAUGUUAGGUUAAGUCCUGCAACGAGCGCAACCCUUGUUAUUAGUUGCUACCAUUAAGUUGAGCACUCUAAUGAGACUGCCUGGGUAACCAGGAGGAAGGUGGGGAUGACGUCAAAUCAUCAUGCCCCUUAUGUCCAGGGCUACACACGUGCUACAAUGGUAGGUACAAUAAGACGCAAGACCGUGAGGUGGAGCAAAACUUAUAAAACCUAUCUCAGUUCGGAUUGUAGGCUGCAACUCGCCUACAUGAAGCUGGAGUUGCUAGUAAUCGCGAAUCAGAAUGUCGCGGUGAAUACGUUCCCGGGCCUUGUACACACCGCCCGUCACACCAUGAGAGCUGGUAACACCCGAAGUCCGUGAGGUAACCGUAAGGAGCCAGCGGCCGAAGGUGGGAUUAGUGA
rnacentral:rRNA from 1 species